AUAUUGAAUUAAUAUUUCUUUUUUCGUGCAAUUGAAUUAUUAGUUGCAAUUACAAAAUAUCGCAUUGUUUUUCCCCAAAAAAUUAAGAUUGAUAUAACACGUACAGUAAGAUUGUUUAUUAUAUUUUAUUUUUAAUUCUUUCGUUUAAAUUUCAUAGCUUGUGAAGAUAAUUUUGGUGUUUAUGUUAAAUAUUACUAAAAAUGCUAUAGUAAAUAUUACUUCAAAAAUUUUAUUAAACGCAUGGAAUAUUAAGUUUACAAUAAAUGUUAAUGUAAAAAAAAUAUUGAAAUAAUUAAAAUAUCAAAAAUUAUUUAACACGUUAUGCGCCGAACUUAUUUUUGUUUACCUUUCCGUUCGCGCCGCGAUAGCUGUCAGAGAUACGCAAGAUUGCGAAGAAUUUCUUUUCUAUCCAUAAUAAUGACAAUGCCGGCACAGGACGGAUGUGAAAAUAUCAUAGAAUUAUGUUAUUUUUUCAUCAGAGGACGAUGAUUUUGAAGAAUGACAUAAUUCGAAAAGGAAUCAAUCAAAAAUUAUGCUUUCAUUAGUUUAUCUGGCUUCAGGAUUAAAAUAUGAAUAUGCAGACACAUGCAACAGUUGAGAAGUGUUAUAAACUAUUUGUGGUAGAUGAGUGAGGAAAUCGUUAAACAAACGAACUUAUAUGCAUCACAAAAAUUGGUGGAAGAAAACUCGCAAUGUUUGUGCAAAUAGACUAUAACAAACAAAAAUGAGAUGACAUUUUUUU